rnacentral:rRNA from 1 species
UGCCAGCCGCCGCGGUAAUACGGAGGGUGCGAGCGUUGUUCGGAAUUACUGGGCGUAAAGCGCGCGUAGGCGGCUUUGUCAGUCGGAUGUGAAAGCCCUGGGCUUAACCUGGGAAUGGCAUUCGAUACUGCAGAGCUAGAGUAUGGAAGAGGGAAGUGGAAUUUCCGGUGUAGCGGUGAAAUGCGUAGAUAUCGGAAGGAACACCAGUGGCGAAGGCGACUUCCUGGCUCGUAACUGACGCUGAGGCACGAAAGCGUGGGGAGCAAACCGGAUUAGAUA